AAAUAUAUAAAAUUUAAGUAAAUUUUAUUGAGCUGCAUAACUUAAAAUUUAAGUGGAUUUUGUUAUAUGUGUAUCGUGCCAUAGGUCGGGUCCAUGAUUCCAGAGGCGGGAUGGGUGCUGUCUGCUAAAGGCAAAACAACAUAGAUCUAAUUAAAGGAUAUGGAUGGGUUUGGGUAUGAUAGAUCUUUCAGUAUAUGGUGGGCUGUCAAUUAUGCGAUGAAAUCAUGCGUGCGAAGUUGGACACAUGCCAGCUGGGAUGAGUUUUCCCACAUUUGUGUUAAAUUAAUUACUAUCAUCACUUUUG
rnacentral:misc_RNA from 1 species